rnacentral:ncRNA from 1 species
AAAAAUAAAAGGCAAUUCAAUCGAAAGGUUGUUACGCAAAAGUCUGAAUCUACGGGGGUACCCUAUGAUUGUCAGCUUGCCUCA